GGGGGAUUCCGUUGUAACAACUCCAAUCCUGCUCACAAAGCACAGCUCCUUAAUAUCCCAUAAAUGCAGAUCACCAAGCAUGUGGUUAUACCAUACAUUCCCUCCUGUCCAUCUCAACUAAUGUAGUAAAACCCAAAGGGAAGCAGUGUGUUAAACCCACAACAUGAGGUCCACCUCUCCAUGCCUCGCUGGCUGGAAAGUUACUGUG